GGGAUCUUGAGUUCACCCUGUGCAGCCCUCUCCCCGUUCCCAGACGACAGCUGAGGCACAAAGAGGUGCAGCUGCCUGCGUGGGAGCAGAUUUCCGAGCCCACAUCAGAUGCUCCAACAGGGCGACAGCGGCAUCUCCUCAGGGCGUCCACGUGCCACAUCGCAGGGGCUGCCGCCGGGAAACAAUCAGCAGGGGCACGCGAAUUUCUAAACAGGAGGAAUCUGAUUUCCGUGCAACAUCGUUGAGAAAUCAAAGCCUGUAAGAAUCAUCGUGAUAGGUAAAAUUUGAAGAUACAGUAUUUCUCUCUUCUGGGAGAUUUCUGAAUUAUUUCCCUCAAGUUUCAAGUGCAGCGAAGUACAUGCUUCUGGAGACCUCUCUGCAUUCCUCCCAGCUAUCUUUGGGGCAAUGCACUCUCCACUCAGUCGUCGUGAACUGCAGACAGCAGUGCUGAGGGUUGUUGAUAACUCUCUGGGGUCGCCCGGCCCGGGCUCAGCCUCGGGCUCAGUUCGUGCUCUGCGGUCAGACGGUUCCAUCACCGGGUGGAUGCUACCCAGUCCCGGCGGAGGGGAGGCGAUGUGAUAUGAAGCGCCCCGGGGGCUCCUCGCCUCCCCUGUGCCUUCCUCUGAGAUGGGAAAAGCGAGUGAGCCCACGUUCCGGGGCAGGCUUUGCAGACCAUGCACCGCGCCCUUUCCGCAGGAUGAGUUCAGUGCGUCCUAAUCUCGAGAAGGACUCACUCCCUGACCUUUAAGGUUAGAAAUAAUUAGACAAGAAAAUCCCUUUUCUUGGUUUCUUGUAACUGUCAAAAAUGAUGAGUAGUGGAAAUACGGCCUCAGGUCAGGCUUCUGCCCUCUCUGAACCUUUGCACCGUGUUGUUUAUAGAAAAAAUAGCAUCCUGAGGCCUGAUAAGGUGAGUGUUGCUGGUUCUGCCUUUUGACUGUUCCUUAUGCUUUGCUAUCACAGCAAAGGGCCGGAUUGCUGCAGAAACCUGAAUAAAUGCAACAGUUCCUUGGGACUGUGCAACUCACUCUCCUUCUCCUCUCCUUGGCGCAGAAGCAUCUCCUUUUGUCUCGGCAAACCCAUUUUGGAAAAAUGGUUUCAGUCUUGGCAGCAAUAGACAGCUUUUUAUGUCUUAUUCUGAUUGCCUUAGAGGUCAACCCAACGCAAAGCAACAUUUAGUUCUCAGGCUCUGAGGAAUCUUAAGGCGGCCCAGUCCUCUUUUUCCAUUUUUAGUGAUUUAUGUGUUUUGAACCAUAUAUAAGCAUCUUCUCUAUGCUUCACGUGCAGUGUUCCGAAGGCGUGCCAGCACUCUUUCCCUCUCCACGGAGAGCCAGCUCCUGGAAGCCAGGGCGUUGUUCAUAUCAGAUGGGGGCCAGCAUCUCCUUUAUCCCCACAGAUCCUAGAUCAGUGCCUUUGAGAGAGUGGAGGCUGAAUAAAAAUGUGCUGUACUGAAUUAAUA
rnacentral:lncRNA from 1 species